rnacentral:rRNA from 1 species
UACGUAGGGUGCGAGCGUUGUUCGGAUUCAUUGGGCGUAAAGGGUGCGUAGGUGGCGCCGUAAGUCAGGUGUGAAAUCUCGGAGCUCAACUCCGAAACUGCACUUGAUACUGCGGUGCUCGAGUACUGGAGAGGAGAUUGGAAUUUACGGUGUAGCAGUGAAAUGCGUAGAUAUCGUAAGGAAGACCAGUGGCGAAGGCGAAUCUCUGGACAGUUACUGACACUGAGGCACGAAGGCCAGGGGAGCAAACGGG